GGCCGGUUAGCUUAGUUGGUUAGAGCAUGGUGCUGUUGGCACCAAGGUCAAGGGUUCAAUCCCUGUACCGGCCA